AGCAGCCGCGGUAAUUCCAGCUCCAAUAGUGUAUAUUAAAGUUGUUGCAGUUAAAAAGCUCGUAGUUGAAUUUCGGGGUUAGUAGGUUGGUCAUGCCUCUGGUAUGUACUGGCCUCACUGAUUCCUCCUUCCUGAUGAACCGUAAUGCCAUUAAUUUGGUGUUGCGGGGAAUUUGGACUGUUACUUUGAAAAAAUUAGAGUGUUUAAAGCAAGCUAACGCUUGAAUACAUUAGCAUGGAAUAAUGAAAUAGGACGUUCGAUCCUAUUUUGUUGGUUUCUAGGAUUGACGUAAUGAUUAAUAGGGAUAGUUGGGGGCAUUAGUAUUCAAUUGUCAGAGGUGAAAUUCUUGGAUUUAUUGAAGACUAACUACUGCGAAAGCAUUUGCCAAGGAUGUUUUCAUUAAUCAAGAACGAAAGUUAGGGGAUCGAAGACGAUCAGAUACCGUCGUAGUCUUAACCAUAAACUAUGCCGACUAGGGAUCGGAUGAUGUUAAUUUUUAAUGACUCAUUCGGCGCCUUAC
rnacentral:rRNA from 1 species